rnacentral:rRNA from 1 species
GACGUAGGGCGCGAGCGUUGUCCGGAUUUAUUGGGCGUAAAGAGCUCGUAGGCGGCUUGUCGCGUCGACUGUGAAAUCCCGCGGCUCAACCGCGGGUCUGCAGUCGAUACGGGCAAGCUAGAAUUCGGUAGGGGAGACUGGAAUUCCUGGUGUAGCGGUGAAAUGCGCAGAUAUCAGGAGGAACACCGGUGGCGAAGGCGGGUCUCUGGGCCGAUAUUGACGCUGAGGAGCGAAAGCGUGGGGAGCGAACAGG